rnacentral:rRNA from 1 species
CGUGCAGCCGGAGAGGCAAGUCAGAUGUGAAAUCCUUGGGCUUAACCCAGGGACUGCAUUUGAAACUGUCUCCCUCGAGUGUCGGAGAGGUAACCGGAAUUCCUAGUGUAGCGGUGAAAUGCGUAGAUAUUAGGAAGAACAUCAGUGGCGAAGGCGGGUUACUGGACGACAACUGACGGUGAGGCGCGAAAGCGUGGGGAGCAAACA